UUCUAUGUUCUUGCUUUGAAUGAUUAGCUCUGCUCACUAUUGUUGUAUUGUGCUGUGCUGAAAAAAAUUGAGACUGAAAUUGUCCUCAAAGCCUGAAAUUUUGAUAAUCCUUGUUAAUCUUUGGAAAAGUUUGUUGUUGCUGCUGCGUAAUUUUUUAUUGUGUUAUCCUAUUAAAUGUUUGCACGAAAGGUGCAACAAAGAACAAAAAGCUUCACAUAUUUUGCAUUUGCUUGCAGUAUAAUUUCAAGGACAGCUCUGUGAAAUUGGUGUAUAUACCCCAGCCACAUCCUCAGGCAUUUGCUUCUCUAUCUUGGAAAACAAUUGUCAAAGUGGCAUGUGGGACAAAUCACACAGUGGCGGUGGAUAAGAAUGGCUUUGUCUACUUCUGGGGAUUUGGUGGUUAUGGAAGGUUUGUGCAUAAUUUUUAGAUUGGUUGUCAAUGUUCUGUAAAAUACAAAGAAAUUACAACAAUCAUAUGAUUCAAUGCAAAUUGGUUUUAUUUAUUUAUUUGGCUGGUUCUGUGAAUUCUGCGUGUACUGCAGGUAUGCUUGACACAAAUUCAAUUCCCUUCCUUUUCUUGUAUAUAUAUACACUCAAAGAUAUGUCUAAAGUCUAAACAAAUUUAUUGCAUAAAGAACUUGAUCUUUGCAUAAAAAUACUUGAGAUUUCUAUAUUUUAGAGUCUGAUUAGUGAGAGCGUAAAAGGAAAGGGGAUCUUGACCAGUAUGAACUCUUGGAUGGGGAUAGAAAUAUAACCAGCAGACUUCUUGCAGUUAAGGACAACAGAGAGGGAAGCAAGCUUGAUUAUACCAAUGCCCAUAAUGCAGAAGACAAUUGAUUAUCUACUUUUUCUGCUAGAUCAUCCCUAUGUUGAGAGGUUUCUUAGUGCAUAUAAAUUCUUGUGAAAUAGGAAGAGAGCAAUUAGAAUGGACCUGAGUAUGUAGCACAUUUUCUAUCAAGGGGCUAUUCUAUGCUUGAACAGAUGAUACUUUUUUAUUUUUAACAAAAGUAUAAUAAAACCUAAUUUUUCUCGUAUUGAAUGAAGUGGAAAUAAUAUCUAUUUUUUCUGCAAGUUUCUUAUAUGCUAUAUUGAUUAAGACUCAAUACAAAUAUAUAUUGUGGCUACUUACAGAUAUAGUAGUUUCAUAUUUAUUUGUUGGUAAAAUAAUUUUCUAAAGGUUCUGAUGCCUUUUAUCAAGAAUCUGCAUCUGCUUGGUGAUGUUUGUAAGAACAAUAUCUGGUGAUGGUUAAAAGUUUAAAACUCAUGAGGCUAUUUAUUUUUGUGGUUUCAGAUCCAAUUACACAUCAUUGCAAUGCAUGAAUUAUGUGAAUACACAAAAGGAGAAGGAUUUUCUGCGGGCUUUGAUGCUCACUUCAAUAUUGAACAUAUGAACAUAACUUCGGUUGAAUUGUUUCAGAUGUAUGAUGAUUCACAGAAAGAAAAGAAUACUUGUUCCUACCAAAAAAAGUUUCGAGGCUAUUAUGCUCUCCUUAAAUUGGAUAAGCAUCCUGGUUAU